rnacentral:rRNA from 1 species
CAGCAGCCACGGUAAUACGAAGGGGGCUAGCGUUGUUCGGAAUUACUGGGCGUAAAGCGCACGUAGGCGGAUAUUUAAGUCAGGGGUGAAAUCCCAGAGCUCAACUCUGGAACUGCCUUUGAUACUGGGUAUCUUGAGUAUGGAAGAGGUGAGUGGAAUUCCGAGUGUAGAGGUGAAAUUCGUAGAUAUUCGGAGGAACACCAGUGGCGAAGGCGGCUCACUGGUCCAUUACUGACGCUGAGGUGCGAAAGCGUGGGGAGCAAACAGGAUGAGAUACCCGAGUAGUCCCUGUCUCUUAUAC